GCCCUAGUAGCUUAAAAGUCAAAGCGCCGGUCUUGUAAUCCGGAAACGAAAGUUAAAAUCUUCCCUAAGGCC
rnacentral:tRNA from 1 species